CAGUCGACGAACUCUGGUAUUGAUUGGUGCUUGCAUCAUGAUUUACAUUUGAGUGAGUGGCGAACUGGUGAGUAACACGUGGGAAACCUGCCCAGAAGCGGGGGAUAACACCUGGAAACAGAUGCUAAUACCGCAUAACAACUUGGACCGCAUGGUCCGAGUUUGAAAGAUGGCUUCGGCUAUCACUUUUGGAUGGUCCCGCGGCGUAUUAGCUAGAUGGUGGGGUAACGGCUCACCAUGGCAAUGAUACGUAGCCGACCUGAGAGGGUAAUCGGCCACAUUGGGACUGAGACACGGCCCAAACUCCUACGGGAGGCAGCAGUAGGGAAUCUUCCACAAUGGACGAAAGUCUGAUGGAGCAACGCCGCGUGAGUGAAGAAGGGUUUCGGCUCGUAAAACUCUGUUGUUAAAGAAGAACAUAUCUGAGAGUAACUGUUCAGGUAUUGACGGUAUUUAACCAGAAAGCCACGGCUAACUACGUGCCAGCAGCCGCGGUAAUACGUAGGUGGCAAGCGUUGUCCGGAUUUAUUGGGCGUAAAGCGAGCGCAGGCGGUUUUUUAAGUCUGAUGUGAAAGCCUUCGGCUCAACCGAAGAAGUGCAUCGGAAACUGGGAAACUUGAGUGCAGAAGAGGACAGUGGAACUCCAUGUGUAGCGGUGAAAUGCGUAGAUAUAUGGAAGAACACCAGUGGCGAAGGCGGCUGUCUGGUCUGUAACUGACGCUGAGGCUCGAAAGUAUGGGUAGCAAACAGGAUUAGAUACCCUGGUAGUCCAUACCGUAAACGAUGAAUGCUAAGUGUUGGAGGGUUUCCGCCCUUCAGUGCUGCAGCUAACGCAUUAAGCAU
rnacentral:rRNA from 1 species